rnacentral:lncRNA from 10 species
GCUUCUAAGAAACCAGUACACAACUACAGCCCUCAGAAAUACUCAUCCUCAUCUUCUUUCUUCCUCUCCUUUCAGAAUAGGGUGCUAGCAAGUCUUAUCUGCAGAUGAGGCCAGGCAAGGUGGCUCAUGUUUGUAGUCCCAGCACUUUGGGAGGCUGAGGUGGGUGGAUCACUUGAGGCCAGGAGUUUGAAAAUGAUAUUGUCAGGUCUUAAGUAUUUUAAAAGCAUAACAAGCCUGGUUAACAUAGUGGGGCCCCAUCUCUACAAAAAAUUUAAAAAAUGAGCUGGGCAUGGUGGCGUGUCCCUGUAGUCCCGGCUACGGAGUUUGAGGCUGCAGAGAGCCAUGAUCACGCCACUGAACUCCAGCCUGGAUUACAGAGCGAGACCCUGUUUCAAAAAAGAAAAGUGUGUAGCUGAGGCGACUGUGAGCUUUCAACCACUGGGGACCUUCUGCCCAUCCUACAUGAUAACUGUUGCUCUUGCAUCACCACAGCCAGCGCACCUCCUCUACUGUGGGCAAUCUGAGAAAACUGCACAACACUCAACUGUCCUCUAAUUAGACUAAAGAAUGAGUAUCAACAAAUGGGGAAAUGGUCUGCAAGAUACUGACACAAGGAGAAACCCCCCGUACCCAAGAAUUUGGCAGUACUUAUGUAGCAUUACACAGACAAGAACAGAGACACAGUCUCCUGGCCAGUUAGCUGGCCACACAGAACUGUACUUACACAGGUAGAAGUCAAGAUACCCUUAGAGUCUGCAGCUGCUUUCCAGGCUCCCAUAAGAGCUCCUGAUUAGCAUCUGGGUCUCCUGGAUCCCUUGAUAACAGAAAAACAGGUAGUUUGGGGGCCAGAGAAAUAUUCUAGGUCCUAGGAUCCAGUUUCCAGAUCUUCAAAUUUUUUUUAUUGUAAAAAUAUGCAUAAUAGGCCAGGCGUGGUGUCUCAUGCCUGUAAUCCCAGCACUUUGGGAGGC